AGGAGAAGAUGAAGAUGAAUCUUCUCAGUUGCAAUUCCAAUGAGAAGAUGAAGAUGAAUCCUCUCGGUUGUAGCACCUAGAAGAAGAUGAAGGUGAAUCUUCUCAGUUGCAAUUCUUAGGAGAAGAUGAAGAUGAAUCCUCUCGGUUGCAACACAUAGGAGAAGACAAAGAUGAAUCCUCUCACUUGCGACACCUUAGAGCAGAUGAAGAUGAAUCAUCUUCGGUUGUUACACCUGAGAGAAGAUGAAAAUGAAU
rnacentral:lncRNA from 1 species